rnacentral:rRNA from 1 species
CGGGAAACCGGAGCUAAUACGAUAAUAUUUCGAACCGCAUGGUUCGAUAGUGAAAGAUUGUUUUGCUAUCACUUAUAGAUGGACCCGCGCCGUAUUAGCUAGUUGGUAAGGUAACGGCUUACCAAGGCGACGAUACGUAGCCGACCUGAGAGGGUGAUCGGCCACACUGGAACUGAGACACGGUCCAGACUCCUACGGGAGGCAGCAGCC